UGAAAGUGGUAAGGGCGAAUACUUCCGGUUCGGCUGUUCACCCACGGCAAGCAAUGGCAUUCUACACUCGCUGCCUGCAGGACCUCCCAAGAUUAACAAUCAGCGACGUCCUCCGGUUUAUACGGACUUUAUCUUCUGCUCCACGGAGUAAAAAAGAAAAAGGCUUUAAGUUUUACGUUUCAAACUACAUUGACAACUUUGAAGAUUACAUUUGAGGACUGUUCCCCGGUGGAGAUCGCAGACGUUGGGUGUUCCUGUGUGGCUGGUACAGUGCUGUGCAAUCACAGUGUUGCAUUGCUUUACCAAACUGCACACUACUGUGCUCUGAAUUUGACUUCAGUGCCACCAGUACUAAGCUGUACGGAAACUGAACAGAGCUGGCACAAACCAAGGACCAUGGGUGUGAAACCAGGCCGUGUGCGUGACAUGGUUUUUAAGUCUGCAAGACCAAAACAGCAGCGCACGGUCGGAAAUGGUGUAAGGAGCAAACGUUACAGGGCAGUGCGAGGUGACACACCAGACCCUGAUGUUCUCAGGGUAGCAGAGGUGUACCAGGACUUUCCAGCUGACCUUGCACCUCUCAUUACUACGAUGGCAAUUAGUGCUGAUGUGCCUUUAGUGGAUU